GUAAUUCAACCUAUUCAAGACUUCCUGAACUCAUUAAUCCAUAACUGUUCAAUGAAUUUCUAUAUUGCAGGCACUGCUCUGAGUAGUAGAGAUAGAGGAAAGAAGGACUAAUGCCAGCCUUUUCGAAGUUCACCCACUGUGGAGGACUCAUAUAUAUAGAAGACAUAUACUCACACUAUAAAGGAACAUAGACUGAAAAAUCUCACCAACGAGUCACAUAUGAGGUCUCUUCCUAGAGGAAGGAAUGCCUAAGUUAAUUGCUGAAGUCUGAACUGGGACUUCAUCAGGAGAAGAGUUAGCAGAGGAAAAUUCUAGCCAGGAGAAAGAGUGGCUUCUAAUACUAUUGACCAGUGGCCAAAGGGUAGUAGGAAAACACAAGGUGUUCCAAAUGUCUGGAGUGUAUGUUACAAGGGAAAGAGCCAUGAAAUAAGGCUGUAAGUUAUCAGAAGUGAGGUUAGGCAGGCUGUGGUAAAGCAUCUGGGUUUGACCCUGGGUGAAUGGAAGACAAUGGAGAUCUUUAUAAGAUGGGCAUACAUGCUCAGAUGAGUGUGAACAAUGCAAUCUAGGUUUCUGAAUUAGGGGUCAAGAAGAUCAAGUGUGAGGCAUCCUUAAUCUUAUAAGAUAUGGUGGCCUUGACUUGAGUAAUGAUGUGAGAUAAGAAGCAAUCCAGAUAGAUAUUUGGCAAAGAGCAAUAUUGAUAAGACCAAGGAGACUUCAUUGGCUAAGAAUGACUUGGUGAUUGGUUCAGCCAUCGACUUCUCAUACAUCACUAAAGAAAGAUUGAACUCAGUUGUGUAUAUUUAUUUGAAUGACAAUCAUUUAUUAAAAAAACAGCCUCUUGUAAAAGACCUGGUCCCUAACUCAUGAGUUUUCUCUAAUGAGAAAAGAAGUCAGAUUGCCAGAAAUGUUUCCCACACUGAGACUGCUGUGUCCUUUGGACAAGAACAUUCAAGACAACUUCAGUGUCAUGACUGUAAUCUGUGUACAACUAACAUCCAAAAUAAAGUAGAUGGCCAUUCUGGC
rnacentral:lncRNA from 1 species